CCCGACAAAAAUUGGAACGGGAGGUCUGGCGGUCGGCCGCGCACAUGCGUUUCGAGCGGAUGACGGGAGCUUGCUCCUUGUUUCAGCGGCGGACGGGUGAGUAAUGCCUAGGAAUCUGCCUGGUAGUGGGGGACAACGUUUCGAAAGGAACGCUAAUACCGCAUACGUCCUACGGGAGAAAGCAGGGGACCUUCGGGCCUUGCGCUAUCAGAUGAGCCUAGGUCGGAUUAGCUAGUUGGUGAGGUAAUGGCUCACCAAGGGGACGAUCCGUAACUGGUCUGAGAGGAUGAUCAGUCACACUGGAACUGAGACACGGUCCAGACUCCUACGGGAGGCAGCAGUGGGGAAUAUUGGACAAUGGGCGAAAGCCUGAUCCAGCCAUGCCGCGUGUGUGAAAGAGGUCUUCGGAUUGUAAAGCACUUUAAGUUGGGAGGAAGGGCAGUAAAUUAAUACCUUGCUGUUUUGACGUUACCGACAAAUAACACCGGGCUAACUCUGUGCCAACCAGCCCCCAGUAAAA
rnacentral:rRNA from 1 species